rnacentral:tRNA from 1 species
GAUUCACUGGUCUUGUGGUUAUGAUUUCUGUCUAACACACAGAAGGUUCCUGGUUCGAUUCCAGGGUGAAUCA